rnacentral:rRNA from 1 species
GGAAUUUUGGACAAUGGGCGCAAGCCUGAUCCAGCAAUGCCGCGUGCAGGAUGAAGGCCUUCGGGUUGUAAACUGCUUUUGUACGGAACGAAACGGUCUGCCCUAAUACGGUGGGCUAAUGACGGUACCGUAAGAAUAAGCACCGGCUAACUACGUGCCAGCAGCCGCGGUAAUACGUAGGGUGCGAGCGUUAAUCGGAAUUACUGGGCGUAAAGCGUGCGCAGGCGGUUAUAUAAGACAGAUGUGAAAUCCCCGGGCUCAACCUGGGAACUGCAUUUGUGACUGUAUAGCUAGAGUACGGUAGAGGGGGAUGGAAUUCCGCGUGUAGCAGUGAAAUGCGUAGAUAUGCGGAGGAACACCGAUGGCGAAGGCAAUCCCCUGGACCUGUACUGACGCUCAUGCACGAAAGCGUGGGGAGCAAACAGGAUUAGAUACCCUUG